GGUGGAUGGUGUCUGACUAGUUAUCUGAAGGCUGAUUUAAAGAUGGCUAAGUCAAAAUGAGUUGUCCAGGAUAACAUUUUCAUGAUUAAGAAGUUAGAUUUCCUUUCUCAAGGAUUCUGCUGACUUGAUCAUAGCCAAGCUACAUUACAGAAUAGUAAGUGGAACUUGGACGACUGAUGAACUUUGGCUGAAGUAUGGCUUUAGUCUUCAUGAAAGAUUACAGCAUAACAUUUAACAUAUGGUAAAAAUGAACGUCACAAAUUUGAGUGUACUUUUCAACUUAUUUAAUUGUACCAGCUUUUG